rnacentral:rRNA from 1 species
GUGAGGUAACGGCUCACCAAGGCUGCGAUGGGUAGCCGACCUGAGAGGGUGAUCGGCCACACUGGAACUGAGACACGGUCCAGACUCCUACGGGAGGCAGCAGUGGGGAAUAUUGGGCAAUGGAGGCAACUCUGACCCAGCAACGCCGCGUGAGGGAAGAAGGUUUUCGGAUUGUAAACCUCUGUCCUUGGGGACGAAGAAAGUGACGGUACCCAAGGAGGAAGCCCCGGCUAACUACGUGCCAGCAGCCGCGGUAAUACGUAGGGGGCGAGCGUUGUCCGGAAUUACUGGGCGUAAAGGGUGCGUAGGCGGUUGCCUAAGUCAGAUGUGAAAUCCCCGGGCUUAACUCGGGUGUUGCAUUUGAAACUGGGGAACUAGAGUGCAGGAGAGGGAAGCGGAAUUCCUAGUGUAGCGGUGAAAUGCGUAGAUAUUAGGAGGAACACCAGUGGCGAAGGCGGCUUUCUGGACUGUAACUGACGCUGAGGCACGAAAGCGUGGGGAGCAAACAGGAUUAGAUACCCUGGUAGUCCACGCUGUAAACGAUGGAUACUAGGUGUAGGGGGCGUAGAGCCCUCUGUGCCGCAGCUAACGCAAUAA